rnacentral:rRNA from 1 species
AGAGUUUGAUCAUGGCUCAGAACGAACGCUGGCGGCGUGCUUAACACAUGCAAGUCGCGUGCGCAGUUCCGUAGCAAUACGGGAUGGGCGCACGGCGCACGGGUGCGUAACACGUGGGCAAUCUGCCCUCUGAUGGGGAAUAACCCGCCGAAAGGCGGGCUAAUUCCGCAUAAGAUUCCCGGGACUUCGGUUCUGGGAUUGAAAGCAGUAAUGCGUCGGAGGAGGAGCCCGCGCCCGAUUAGCUAGUUGGUGAGGUAACGGCUCACCAAGGCAAUGAUCGGUAGCUGGUCUGAGAGGAUGAUCAGCCACACUGGAACUGAGACACGGUCCAGACUCCUACGGGAGGCAGCAGUGGGGAAUCUUGCACAAUGGGCGAAAGCCUGAUGCAGCGACGCCGCGUGGGGGAUGAAGCAUUUCGGUGUGUAAACCCCUUUCGACUGGGAAGAAUGCCUCGCAAGAGGAGUGACGGUACCAGUAGAAGAAGCCCCGGCUAACUACGUGCCAGCAGCCGCGGUAAGACGUAGGGGGCCAGCGUUGUUCGGAAUUACUGGGUGUAAAGGGUUCGUAGGCGGUGCGGCAAGUUGGGAGUGAAAUCUCUGGGCUUAACCCAGAGGCUGCUUCCAAAACUGCUGUGCUCGAGUGUGAGAGAGGCUCGUGGAAUUGCAGGUGUAGCGGUGAAAUGCGUAGAUAUCUGCAGGAACACCCGUGGCGAAAGCGGCGAGCUGGAUCACUACUGACGCUGAGGAACGAAAGCUAGGGGAGCAAACAGGAUUAGAUACCCUGGUAGUCCUAGCCCUAAACGAUCAGGACUUGGGGUGCCGCCCGUUCGGGCGUCGUCCCGGAGCUAACGCGUUAAGUCCUGCACCUGGGGAGUACGGUCGCAAGACUGAAACUCAAAGGAAUUGACGGGGCCCGCACAAGCGGUGGAACAUGUGGUUCAUUCGACGCUACGCGAGGAACCUUACCUGGGCUCGAAAUGCUAGUGACC